rnacentral:lncRNA from 1 species
CGAGAGCUGCCGGGACGGCUGCGAGAACUACUGCUCCGGCGGGGUCGUCUUCACCUACAACUCCGUCGACCGGGACGGCACGCGCACCUACGGCGGCUACUCCGACGCGGUGGUCGUCAGCCAGCGCUUCGUCGUGCGCUUCCCCUCCUCCGCCGGCGGCGGCGCCGGCGCCGCGCUGCCGCUGGACAGCGGCGCGCCGCUGCUGUGCGCCGGGGUGACGGUGUACGCGCCGAUGAGGCAGCAUGGGCUGUGCGAGGCCGGGAAGCACGUCGGCGUGGUGGGGCUCGGCGGGCUCGGCCACGUCGCCGUCAAGUUCGCCAGGGCGUUCGGGAUGAGGGUGACGGUG